CGGACGGGUGAGUAACGCGUGAGAAUCUGCCUCCAGGUCGGGGACAACAGCGGGAAACUGCUGCUAAUCCCGGAUAAGCCCUAGGGUAAAAGAUUUAUUGCCUGGAGAGGAGCUCGCGUCCGAUUAGCUAGAUGGUGAGGUAAGAGCUCACCAUGGCGACGAUCGGUAGCUGUUCUGAGAGGAAGAUCAGCCACACUGGGACUGAGACACGGCCCAGACUCCUACGGGAGGCAGCAGUGGGGAAUUUUCCGCAAUGGGCGAAAGCCUGACGGAGCAAGACCGCGUGCGGGAAGAAGGCCCUUGGGUCGUAAACCGCUUUUCUUAGGGAAGAAGCUCUGACGGUACCUAAGGAAUCAGCCUCGGCUAACUCCGUGCCAGCAGCCGCGGUAAUACGGAGGAGGCAAGCGUUAUCCGGAAUUAUUGGGCGUAAAGCGUCCGCAGGCGGCUUAUCAAGUCUGCCGUCAAAGACUGGGGCUCAACCCUGGGGAGGCAGUGGAAACUGAGAAGCUAGAGUGCAGUAGGGGUAGAGGGAAUUCCCAGUGUAGCAGUGAAAUGCAUAGAGAUUGGGAAGAACACCGGUGGCGAAAGCGCUCUACUGGGCUGCAACUGACGCUGAGGGACGAAAGCUAGGGGAGCGAAAGGGAUUAGAUACCCCUGUAGU
rnacentral:rRNA from 1 species